rnacentral:rRNA from 1 species
UGGGGAAUAUUGCACAAUGGGCGCAAGCCUGAUGCAGCCAUGCCGCGUGUGUGAAGAAGGCCUUCGGGUUGUAAAGCACUUUCAGCGGGGAGGAAGGCGUUAAGGUUAAUAACCUUGGCGAUUGACGUUACCCGCAGAAGCAGCACCGGCUAACUCCGUGCCAGCAGCCGCGGUAAUACGGAGGGUGCAAGCGUUAAUCGGAAUUACUGGGCGUAAAGCGCACGCAGGCGGUCUGUCAAGUCGGAUGUGAAAUCCCCGGGCUCAACCUGGGAACUGCAUUCGAAACUGGGAGGGUAGAGUCUUGUAGAGGGGGGUAGAAUUCCAGGUGUAGCGGUGAAAUGCGUAGAGAUCUGGAGGAAUACCGGUGGCGAAGGCGACCCCCUGGACAAAGACUGAAGCUCAGGUGCGAAAGCGUGGGGAGCAAACAGG